rnacentral:rRNA from 1 species
UACGAGGGGGGCAAGCGUUGUUCGGAAUUAUUGGGCGUAAAGGGUGCGUAGGUGGUUCGGCAAGUCUUGUGUGAAAUCUUCAGGCUCAACUUGAAGUCUGCACAAGAAACUGCCGGGCUUGAGUAUGGGAGAGGUGAGUGGAAUUUCCGGUGUAGCGGUGAAAUGCGUAGAUAUCGGAAGGAACACCUGUGGCGAAAGCGGCUCACUGGACCAUUACUGACACUGAGGCACGAAAGCUAGGGGAGCAAACAGGAUUAGAUACCCUGGUAGUCCUAGCCCUAAACGAUGAUCGCUUGGUGUGGCGGGUAUCCAACCCUGCCGUGCCGAAGCUAACGCGUUAAGCGAUCCGCCUGGGGAGUACGGUCGCAAGGCUGAA